GACGAACGCUGGCGGCGUGCUUAACACAUGCAAGUCGAACGGAAAGGCCCUGCUUUUGUGGGGUGCUCGAGUGGCGAACGGGUGAGUAACACGUGAGUAACCUGCCCUUGACUUUGGGAUAACUUCAGGAAACUGGGGCUAAUACCGGAUAGGAGCUCCUGCUGCAUGGUGGGGGUUGGAAAGUUUCGGCGGUUGGGGAUGGACUCGCGGCUUAUCAGCUUGUUGGUGGGGUAGUGGCUUACCAAGGCUUUGACGGGUAGCCGGCCUGAGAGGGUGACCGGCCACAUUGGGACUGAGAUCCGGCCCAGACUCCUACGGGAGGCAGCAGUGGGGAAUAUUGCACAAUGGGCGGAAGCCUGAUGCAGCAACGCCGCGUGCGGGAUGACGGCUUUCGGGUUGUAAACCGCUUUCGCCUGUGACGAAGCGUGAGUGACGGUAAUGGGUAAAGAAGCACCGGCUAACUACGUG
rnacentral:rRNA from 1 species